GUCGCGGAAAACUUUCCAGUGGACUGCUGAACAAACAUUAACAUUUAUAAAGUUGCUUUCAGAAAAUGAAGAGUUGUUUACAGGUGCAAAGAAUUCUGCAUCUGAAGGUUUCAUACACAUUUUAGGUGAAAUGAGUUUAGACUGCAUGGUGACUUGUGACCAGGCCAAAAGGAAAUGGGAGAACCUGAAAUUCAAAUACAAGGACAUUAAGCAGAAACCAAAGAUGACUGGGUCACAGACAGAAGGAGGAGAGGAGACAGCAGGUACAUGGCUG